AACGAACGCUGGCGGCGCGCCUAAUACAUGCAAGUCGAGCGAGAAGACGUAGCAAUACGUUUGUAAAGCGGCGAACGGGUGAGGAAUACAUGGGUAACCUACCCUCGAGUGGGGAAUAACUAGCCGAAAGGUUAGCUAAUACCGCGUACGCUUCUUGGACUUCGGUUCAGGGAGGAAAGCGAUACCGUGGGUAUCGCGCUCUUGGAUGGGCUCAUGUCCUAUCAGCUUGUUGGNGAGGUAACGGUUCACCAAGGCUUCGACGGGUAGCUGGUCUGAGAGGACGAUCAGCCACACUGGCACUGCGACACGGGCCAGACUCCUACGGGAGGCAGCAGUAAGGAAUAUUGCGCAAUGGGCGAAAGCCUGACGCAGCGACGCCGCGUGGGGGAUGGAAGGUC
rnacentral:rRNA from 1 species